UUGGGCUCGGCAGUUUCCCAUCAAUCACGUGCAGCCGCGAUGACGUCACCCUGCACAGCUGAAUUUGGGAGUGGAGACGCUGCUGGCGGAAAGGACGAGUUUGAGGAAAAGCUUCGAGAAAAGCGCCGAAGUUCAGCCUGAGACCCGGCGUGCAUGCUGGCCCUGCAGAGUGCGCAAGAUGGAAACUUUUGUUGCACGUGACGCGUCCAAGGACCUUUGGGAAUUUGAAAAUCAGACAAUAUUUUCUGUUUUUACAGUUUCUGGCUACGAUAAAUUGUAUAAUUUUGACAUCAUAUGUGGUAAAACAAAUAUAAAAUAAAACCAUUUAAAGUUG